rnacentral:rRNA from 1 species
CUAAAUACUCCUGACUGACCGAUAGUGAACCAGUACCGUGAGGGAAAGGCGAAAAGAACCCCGGCGAGGGGAGUGAAAAAGAACCUGAAACCGUGUACGUACAAGCAGUGGGAGCACGCUUAGGCGUGUGACUGCGUACCUUUUGUAUAAUGGGUCAGCGACUUAUAUUCUGUAGCAAGGUUAACCGAAUAGGGGAGCCGAAGGGAAACCGAGUCUUAACUGGGCGUUAAGUUGCAGGGUAUAGACCCGAAACCCGGUGAUCUAGCCAUGGGCAGGUUGAAGGUUGGGUAACACUAACUGGAGGACCGAACCGACUAAUGUUGAAAAAUUAGCGGAUGACUUGUGGCUGGGGGUGAAAGGCCAAUCAAACCGGGAGAUAGCUGGUUCUCCCCGAAAGCU